UACGUAGGGUGCAAGCGUUGUCCGGCAUUAUUGGGCGUAAAGAGCUCGUAGGCGGUCUGUCGCGUCGGUCGUGAAAACUUGGGGCUUAACCCUGAGCUUGCGGUCGAUACGGGCAUGACUGGAGUUCGGUAGGGGAGACUGGAGUUCCUGGUGUAGCGGUGAAAUGCGCAGAUAUCAGGAGGAACACCGGUGGCGAAGGCGGGUCUCUGGGCUGACACUGACGCUCAUGCACGAAAGCGUGGGGAGCAAACAGG
rnacentral:rRNA from 1 species